CAGGGCACAGCCCAGCUGAGCCUCUCGGAGGAGGGAUGUGGGUUUGAAAGGCACAAUAAAGACUUUUCAAACCGCUGAGCGUGGUUUGUGUGGCACCUGAAAAUGUCACCAGGCAAUGAAAUGCCUGAAAUGCUGCCUGGGCCCUGCCAGGGGGGUUGCAAGGCACAGGUUUGGACCCCUUUCAGCCCAAGGAUUAAAGGAACGCGCUUUGAAAAAGAGAAAUGGAAAAGAAGCAGGAACUGGUACUUCCAGACUGGUACCAAAGAGAAUAUUGUGACUGAACAUCAGCUCUGCAAAACAAAAGGAGGUUGGCUGCAGUUUGAUUUAUGUGGAGAGACUCAGGCAAAUUCUGCACCAGCCACAACAUUCAUUAUGCAAAGGGUCCACACUUCUCCUAAGGGCUACUUCACUGACAAUUCCUCCUGCUGAGGAAUCCUGCUGGAGCUCCCACCUUCACCCCUGGUGACACUUCCAAGGUCCCUCAGGCUGUGUUUUCUGGGACACCACACAUUUCCCCACAACUCCUGCAGCCAGGGCCCUUCUCCCACCCCAUUUCCCUCCACUGAGCAAAAGCCUUGACCUGAGAUGGAAUUUUGGCCUGGAAUUUUGGCCUGGAAUUUCAGCGUUUUUCCAGUGUAUUACCUGUCAGCUCUUUGUCCCUGGUUAGCCAGGCAGCAAAUGGAACCCCACUGCUAUCUCUGCACUUCUCCAUUUUCUGGACUGAAUUGUGUUCUUUGCCUUGUCAGUGGUUUGGGGUUUUUAUCUCUACAAUUGUUUCCUUGGUUGACUCCAACGUGUUUGUUUUUCUAAAUGAUAGCCAACCCCUAUUUUGGUGUAGCUCCAUAUUACUUCAUCAAUCACUUCAAGGGGACGUUGACACAGUGUUAGGUUCUUUUGAGUAAAACAAGGCUGGUUUUAUUAUUUUGUUGUGUAUUAUUUUCCACUAUUCCCAUUGGACUGGGAAAAUUGAGUUUUCAUAGGCCUAAUCUUCUCAGCUAAUGUUAUGAGCUAAAGCUAAGUAGCAUUUGUUGGAAAACAAGAGGUUCAUUUUGUGCUCAACUCAUUCUUUUGUUUGGUAGAGAUGUAACAGAUAAUGUGCAGGAAUUCAAACCAGGUUUUUUUAUCCAUUGUAUGGCUCAAGUUCUGUUUAGAUGGCUGCUAUUUUACUGGUUGCUAUUUAUAUUUCAAAAAUUGCAAAUAUUAUGUUUAUUUUUUAAAAAGAAUUUUUUUUUACUCAUUAUCUAUAGUUGAAAUAAUGUCAUCUAAUGCAAAGGACUAAUUUGUAAGAGUUGUGCAGGAUGAUCUGAAGGGAACAGACAACAGGAAAGAGAAACAGAAUUUACAGGAGAUCCAAACAGAAAAAUCCCUCAGGUUUGGCCAGAAAAAGGCCUGUAACCAUCAGAUAAGAAUUAAUUUGUUAGAUGGAUUA
rnacentral:lncRNA from 1 species